GACGAACGCUGGCGGCGUGCUUAACACAUGCAAGUCGAACGGAAAGGCCCUGCUUUUGUGGGGUGCUCGAGUGGCGAACGGGUGAGUAACACGUGAGUAACCUGCCCUUGACUUUGGGAUAACUUCAGGAAACUGGGGCUAAUACCGGAUAGGAGCUCCUGCUGCAUGGUGGGGGUUGGAAAUUUUCGGCGGUUGGGGUUGGAUUCGCGGCUUAUCAGCUUGUUGGUGGGGUAGUGGCUUACCAAGGCUUUGACGGGUAGCCGGCCUGAGAGGGUGACCGGCCACAUUGGGACUGAGAUACGGCCCAGACUCCUACGGGAGGCAGCAGUGGGGAAUAUGGCACAAUGGGCGGAAGCCUGAUGCAGCAACGCCGCGUGCGGGAUGACGGCCUUCGGGUGGUAAACCGCUUUCGCCUGUGACGAAGCGUGAGUGACGGUAAUGGGUAAAGAAGCACCGGCUAACUACGU
rnacentral:rRNA from 1 species